CAAUAGCGUAUAUUUAAGUUGCUGCACUUAAAAAGCUCGUAGUUGGAUUUCGGGUGGGAAUGGCCGGUCCGCCGUUUCGGUGUGCACUUGCUACGCCCACCUUGCUGCCGGGGACGUGCUCUUGAGUUCACGCUCGGGACACGGAGUCGGCGAGGUUACUUUGAGUAAAUUAGAGUGUUCAAAGCAGGCCUACGCUCUGAAUACAUUAGCAUGGAAUAACACGAUAGGACUCUGGCCUAUCUUGUUGGUCUGUAGGACCGGAGUAAUGAUUAAGAGGGACAGUCGGGGGCAUUCGUAUUUCAUUGUCAGAGGUGAAAUUCUUGGAUUUAUGAAAGACGAACUACUGCGAAAGCAUUUGCCAAGGAUGUUUUCAUUAA
rnacentral:rRNA from 1 species